AUUGAACGCUGGCGGCAGGCCUAACACAUGCAAGUCGAGCGGAGCGGCGGACGGGUGAGUAAUGCCUAGGUAUCUGCCUGGUAGUGGGGGAUAACGUCCGGAAACGGGCGCUAAUACUGCAUACUUUUAGAUCAGCCUAGGUCGGAUUAGCUAGUUGGUGGGGUAAAGGCCUACCAAGGCGACGAUCCGUAACUGGCCUGAGAGGAUGAUCAGUCACACUGGAACUGGGACAAGGUCCAGACUCCUACGGGAGGCAGCAGUGGGGAAUAUUGGACAAUGGGCGAAAGCCUGAUCCAGCCAUGCCGCGUGUGUGAAGAAGGUCUUCGGAUUGUAAAGCACUUUAAGUUGGGAGGCGUUACCAGCAGAAGAAGCACCGGCUAACUUCGUGCCAGCAGCCGCGGUAAUAC
rnacentral:rRNA from 1 species